GGGGGCGCACUGGUUUCGACCGGUUCUCGUGCGACUUUGGACUGCGCGUCGGGGAUCCCAGGUCACCCCGUCAACAUCCCGGGACGGCAAUUUUUAACUGCCAACAAUUUUGAACUCGCGGCCUGAUUUAUCAGCCGCCGUCUCUGCGGGGAGCGCCCGUGGCCCCGCAGAGACGACAACAACGGGCUGGUCGGAGAGUUGCGCCUCAGGGCAACCCGACGAGACUUUUCUGAGGCUGGUCUGAAACGCCGCCUGUCCGUGGGCAGCUGGAAGACGAGAAACUGAGCACGGAACACACGCGUAGACGUCCGGGGCUGGCGGCUCCGGGACGGGGGUUCAAUUCCCCCCGCCUCCACCA
rnacentral:tmRNA from 1 species